rnacentral:tRNA from 1 species
GCCGGUGUGGCGGAACUGGUAGACGCGCUCGACUCAAAAUCGGGUGCCCGAAAGGGCGUGUGGGUUCGAGUCCCACCUCCGGCACCA